UACGUAGGGUGCGAGCGUUGUCCGGAAUUAUUGGGCGUAAAGAGCUCGUAGGCGGUUUGUCACGUCGGGUGUGAAAGCCCGGGGCUUAACCCCGGGUCUGCAUUCGAUACGGGCUAGCUAGAGUGUGGUAGGGGAGAUCGGAAUUCCUGGUGUAGCGGUGAAAUGCGCAGAUAUCAGGAGGAACACCGGUGGCGAAGGCGGAUCUCUGGGCCAUUACUGACGCUGAGGAGCGAAAGCGUGGGGAGCGAGCAGG
rnacentral:rRNA from 1 species